CAUGACUGGGCAAUUAUCAGUUCAAUGGAAAAGUGCUAUAUGACAAGUACAUGACUGGGCAAUUAUCAGUUCAAUGGAAAAGUGCUAUAUGACAAGUACAUGACUGGGCAAUUAUCAGUUCAAUGGAAAAGUGCUAUAUGACAAGUACAUGACUGGGCAAUUAUCAGUUCAAUGGAAAAGUAAACUUAAUGUUAACAGUGUGUGAUUUACACUUUGGAGUGAACUAAGACAAAGACCACUGCCCUAUUUGAUUGAAUAUUUCCGGGGUUGCUUCCAUCUCGUGGGCGAUAAUGUGAUAAGUGUGUGUUGAGGGAAUGUGAUUUGAUUUAGGGUCCCAAGCUUAACCAGUUAAUGGACUGACUGUGUGUACCUGUUUCCAAUUUCCUACAGCUCUAUGUGUGGUGUGGAUCCAUAUUAUUAUUAUUAUUAUUAUUAUUAUUUGGGGAGGGAAUUCCACAUGUAUUGUAUGUAAUUACACAAGCAGGCAAUUAAAUUGUAGUCAUUGUACUGAAUCUGAAUGUGUACCAACACUGAAGUGUAGGACUCCACUACUAAAUACAUGUGUGUGAUUAUUAUGUAACUACUGCUGCAUUAGCUAGAAUUAGCAUAAAGAGGGAACUUUUUCCUACAACAUCCCAUGCCAUAUCAAAGAAACACUAAAAAUACAGUUUUUAACCACUGCACAACGUUAUUCAGUAGUAUCAAUAUGUUGGCCUUGAAGUAAAAUGCGGUACCACUUUAUGCAGUAGCACGAAGCAUAUUGCCUGAUUGGACCACCUUUGGUGCUGUCCAUUCUAUGCCUGACUGAAAUCAUCCGAUACAGAACCAACAGUUAAACACACACACACACACACACACACACACACACACAGAGAAAGACAUGAGAAACGAGUCGUGACUUCCUAAAUACAUGUAAAAGAGAGACCCCUGUUUCUGACUAAGCCCACACAGAUAUAACCCUGGGAAGGGACGUCACUAGAGAUUCAUGGAUAGGGGGCUAUGCCUCUUUUAGGGGGGUCUGGCAUACUCCCUCCUGUCCGUUUACUGUUAGCUAGCAGUCUCAAGCCACCGAAGUAUAUAAAGUUACAAGUAGGCCUAACGGUGCAUGUACACUAGAUAAUGGUAAAUUGCUGUGUGGCGCUUAGGCCGCCAAUUGUGACUCGCUUGUGGGCGUGCUGGCAGCACGUUCGAUUGUGCGGCAAUUAUUCAGCAGAGCAAGUUUGUAUGAAGGUUCUGGUUAUUAAAUGGGUACAUAGUUCAAUAGUACUAUAAUCUGAAACACUCUGGUGACAAACAAACUUUGCUGCCCUGUUUCCAAUUGUCCACAUGGCUGGGAGAACCUAUUCAAGUAAGUAAAUACAUUUCGUAAAUGUAAAAAAAAAAAAGAUGUAUUAUUAGCUAACUAGCUACAGUGCAGGCUAACUCAAAUGUGCUGCUAAAUGAGCUAGCUAGUUGGCUAGCUAACUAUCUAGCCAACUUCACAUACUGUACAGACAGCUAGCUAAGUUAAUUAAAUUUCACCAGCUACCUAACUUCAUAUUAGCUAGCUAUCUUGAUAUAUUUAUCACUGUAAAAAAACAAACUCAAACUGCAUUUGUAGGUAGCUAGCUAACAGCCAUGGAGGAGGGUGAAAGGAUAGCAGCCCCAACUGUCAAAGUGAGAGAGUAGGCUAUUCUGGAUAGGGCAGGUACUUUUGUGCAGUUCCUGUCCCUAGAAGUGAGGACGGAGAUAAUAGCAUAAUAUUCAGUGCAGUGUAAUUUGACUAAAAAUGAAGCCUGUUUCUUGUGAGGUUUUCUGUCCUCAGAUAAAGAGAGCUAUGAAAGCCUGUCUACAUAUGAAGAGGUCCCAAUGAAGAGCAGUGGUUCUCAGUCCUGGGGACUCAAAGGAGAUACCUUGUAACUGGAGAUUCCUUCAAAACAAUUGCCUACAGUUAACGUGUAGGGCACUGCAAGGUUGGGUGACCAGGGUCAUCUGGGACUGCCUCCUGGAGGAAUUCAGGUGUGUGAAGGCUACCUGUGUCCUGCAUAACUUAAUGAGGAGAGACACGAGGACCAGGAGGGGAUCUGCAGCUCGCCACCGUGUGCCAGAGGAGGAGUCUGCUGCUCUGCAGGAUGUUUCAAGGAUGGGGUCCAACAACGCAGCAAGAGAGGCAAUCCGUGUGCAGAAGAUCUUCACCUCCUACUUCUUCGAAGAGGGUGCUGUUCCCUGGUAACAACAUAGACUAUACUAUGCACAAUCAAAGGCUCUUUAAGAGCCAUUCACAUUGCAAUAAGAGUAUUCUUUCAUUUACUAGCUAUGUCAACUGCAGUUAUUCAAUUCCCAGUUUCUACUUCUCAGGUGAAGGUGCUGUUUAGGUAAGGUUGUGAUGUCUGUACAAAAAAAAACUGGCUAUUUUAAAUAACCCAUAUUGAAAAAAUGUAGAACAAUUAGACCCCCUAUAACCCACACCUACACACUCAUGUAUCAAUCUGAUUGAUGGAUUGUGUUGUGCAGUAAGCAGUCUCAGGUGUAUAAAUGUGGCUCCUUCCACCUUCAAAGAAUAGGCAAGAGGGCCAACCAUGGAGAAUAGUAAGACACUUCAUUAUUUCUAUAACUACGCUAUAUUGUUUGUCCUCGAGUGUCUGUUCAUGUUUUUCAGCAUAAAGUACUCUGCAGCCACUUAGUGUGAUGUGGACAUCAGGUGAGACCACACACACAGAUUCCUGUUGAACUCAUUUUCCCAAUAACAGUCUCUCUCCUUCACUUCCUCCUCUUCUCCCUAAAUCCUCUAGGUUAUAUCAGCCGAGUCGGUGAACCGCUCCCACAUCUGAACUGCGUACAGAGGUCACAGCAUGAUCAGAGUUGAGAAGUCACUUGGUCAGGUCAACAGGAAGUAUUAUUAAAGAGAUGCUUUACAUUGAAAUACAGAGAUGCAGUAGUCCCAGAGUUAAUGAUCCAAGAUAUGUUUUGAUGUGAGAGAGGAUGCCAACCCCCAGGCCCAUCAUCGCCACCUCACCCAUAAUGCAAUUGUGAUGAACAGAGAAUAUUUGGGUAGCACUGUGAUUCAUUAAUCAUAUGCUGCCUUCCCUGCCCCUAUGUUCUUACCCAUUUCCCUUUGUCUUUUACACCUCUCUUGCCACCUCUUUCUUCCUCUGUUUUCAUAAGGCACAACAGAUAAGCAUUGAAGUACAGACUGAACUUGUAUUUAUAAUAUUACAAUUAUAAUAUUUAUAAUGCAUGUAUUUAUAACACUUGGAUAAUGAACUUCUUUCAAUAAAGCGUUUCACAUUCUCUACUGG